AAAAUAACUAUGUUAGGAUUUGAAAUAAUAUUAUAUAUAAAGUAUAAUAAAACUAUACUUUUUAAUUGGUUAUUAUAUUUUUGGUGAUAUUAGAUUUACGAGGUUAAGAAGAUUAAAUAUGUUAAGACUAGAGAAGUUAUAGGAUGAAUGACCUCCCAAAAAGUGAGGUGGUAUCAGAACCAAAUGUCAACCGAAAGUAUGAUUUGAGUUUCGGUACUCAGUCAAGAUAUGAGUGACAGAUUAAAACAAAAUUUUAAAAAGAUUAAAUUAGGGCAUCAACGACAAGACCAGUGAGACGAGACUCACAUCACAUGUUGUUUGUAAGUUUAUUUGGGCCUGCAUCACAAUAUGUCUAACUUAUAUUAAUACAUAUCUUUGAAUAGCGCAAUUCUAACUAUACACUAAUUUAUACCGUUUGGUUCGGGUAUAAGCAAGAAUUAGUUAUUAUAGGGAUACGUGCAAAUAUGGAAAUAAGAAAAAUAGUAUUUGGAUGAAAAUUGGGUUGUUCCCAAGAAUAAAAACAAUUUUAGAUAGUUUUAUAUAGAAAGUGGAGGUGUUGGUGGGAAUAACCGAGAAUUACUAUUCUCGAAUAAAAAAUUAGCAUUUGGGUAUAAAAGGGGAUAAGAGUUUAUUCCUAUUCCUAUCCUCUAACCAAACGCUGCUUUUUUAAAAAAGUAUAAAUCGUACACUCGUCCAUCAAAAUAUUAAUUGUAUCCCAACUCUGUUUUUUAAUACUAAAAAUUUUAAAAAAUAUAUUAUUUCAGCUUUUGGAUAAAUGGAGCAUAAAAUUUGUAUUAUUUUUCUUUACAAAUAUAUAUAUAUAUAUAUAUUUUUUAUUUUGAUAAUAUUAUCAUCUUAA
rnacentral:lncRNA from 1 species